GUAUCCAACUAGAUCAGAACUGGACCAAGGUAUUUUAAUUUAUAGAUCUCAAAUUGGGAUAUUCUAGAUAGGGAAGAAGGUAGAUAGAACCAGACCUUACAGAUCUGUCCUACUGCAGCCUUUCUUGUAGAUCUGUUGAUGGAGAUCUCACCCGCACCUCAAACGACCUCAGAUCAACUCUAGAUCUGACAAAAACUUGUACCAACCUCNN
rnacentral:lncRNA from 1 species